CAUGAAACCGUUACUGCUGUUGACAGUGAAAUAGAAAUUUCUGCUGAUCAUGACACACCAGUCUGGUGACAACACUGUUGAGUUCUGCUGUCUAAGAUGAGGGUAGCAGUUGGUUGCUACCGCGGAACCAAGAGAUUCUUCUCCCUUUUACUAGAUGUGGCCGUAAGCAAAACCCCUAAUACUUGGAAUGGAGGCAGCAAAGACUGGGAGUCUGCAGUGAGGCCACCAACCACAAGCAUUGCAAGGUAUUUGGAGGCGGGAAUGGGAUGGAGGAUGGAUGAGAGGACAAGCAGAAGGAUGGGAGGGAUGUGGGAUGAGGGGAUGGUGGGGGGACGGGUGGAUGAAGAACUUCUAGGAGGUAAAGCCUGCUUAGGUAUGAUAGAGUGACUUGGGCUGCUCAACCAACAGAGUUAGUGAGGACUCCUGAAGCCGUAUGCUUCCCACCCCCCUAUAGAGAGGGCCACCAGAAUAAACCCUGUUUCUCAGCUGUGAGGACAGCAGGCCCUCCCCCAGAUGUGCGCAGGGCAUGCUCUACGGCACUGAGGCGGUGAGCCUGGGCCCUGUGUGUGCUGUCUGCACGCUCAUAGCAACUGAACAUCGAAAUCAGAAGUGGGCAAGCCCCGGCCACAAGAAAAGGGCCUUCUACCAUCGUUCUUCUGAACUGGAGGCUGCCCGUGCCCUCGGCAGGCCAAGGUGGGUGAGCAGGCUGGCUGUGGGUCCUGAGCAAGCUCUGUGCUGCCGGACUUCAUUUCCCAGCAGCAGACAAGCUCAGAGGCCAGCCUCCUCGGGAAGGGAGACUGGAACUGAUCCACUCACCACCGAGGGAAGAAGCACUCUAGGCUUGAUCUCCAGACCUAGCUGUGCUAUUUCCCAACCCCUCUGUCUUUGUACCCUCAUCCCAGAAGGGGAGGAGAAAUGAUUUGGGACCCCAAGCAAGUGAGAGAUGACUUUCCUGAGAGUGCCUUUGGUUGUUAAGAAACGGGUGGGAUAAGAAAUGGAGACCAUCAAGGCACUCCUAAAAAUAACCAGAUGGACUGGGGUUACUUGUGAGCUAUAGCAGCUGUGUGGCACGAAUCUCAUUUAGCACCACGUGAAAGGGAGACCAUUAGCCCUGACUAACCGGGCCAUUCUGGGGAAGUAUCCUCUACACAGUUGUUUCAUAAAUGCUCCCAGCCCUUCACAUCCCGGCUUUCUCCCUCCCUGCCCGAGGUCCCAUUGCAGUGACACUGCACUGGGACAGGGAUAACCAGAGCCCAGCUGCUGCCUCUUUCUUCUCUCUCUCUGCUGAAGAGCCAGCUGACCACACAGGAGAGCUUGCUCCUCCUGGCGGCUCUGCUGUCAGAAGAAUGAGCCACUGUCGACGCAGGGGGAGUUCACUUUCCGGGGACGUGGAGAUCAGCAAGGUUGAACAAUCUGUUCAGAGAUACAGCGUUGAUGGGCACUGGAGGGCUCGACGCCCAGCCUGGACCACAGGACUCACCAUCUGCCCUGAGAACACAAGGCUUUGGGGUCCGAGGCAGCCAUGACAGUUAGCACCUGCUGUAUACCAGGAGCUAUGCUAGCAACUGGGGGUCCAGUGUGAAUAAGACCCAUCCCCUGUCCUGCAGAAGUCUGCAUACCGCUGGGCUCGUGGUGAUGUCAGACGUGCAAUCAUGAACUUUGGGUGUUGGACCUGAAGGAUGGGUGGGGUCCAGUGUGGGAGCCAGGGAGGUGUGAGCAAGUCUACCCAGAGAGGCGUUAUCUGGAAAGUCUUCCCAGAGAGGACGACGCUUAAUGGUCUCAGUAUUAGAGAUGCAGAUGAAAAGCUGAAGGAAGAGGGGAGGAAGGUACUGCCGAAGGGGAGUGAGCCAAAGACAAAGAGGAGAUGGAACCUGCAGCGCCGUCUGCUACCGGAGCCACCUGUCUGUCGCUAGAAAGGGUCCCGAGGCAUGGGGCAAAACCUGCCCACCUGCCCCUUUUGACUGUACUCUGCUGGCUCUCAGAUUCCGUGGCUUCCGUCCAGCCUGCGGAGACGCAGGUCAGGAAAUGGGGUGGCACCCAGCCAGGGACCACGCAUCUCCCUCCCUCUGCCUCCACACCGUCCCCUCCUGCUAUGUGCCCUGAUGCUCUGCUGUUGCUUGGCUGCCGUCCUCAAGGUUGGUAAUAAUAGUUACAAUGUUUGCGUGUGUUUGGCUUGCCUCUUACAACUUAAAUUCUUUUGAAUUACAUGAUUUCAAUCCAGCAAGGACAAGAUUUCUAUAUUUGUUGUAUCUCCCAGCAGCCAGCACGUACAUACAACAAAGGCUAAAAUACAGCAGGGCCUCGUACUCAAGACUGCCAGUCAGUCAACAAGUAUUUACUACGUUCCCACAAAGCGUGCAGUGCGGGCAGCAGCGAGGUCUAACAAUGGUAAGAUGCACUUGUUUCAUCCUGGGAAAUCCAGAAGAGGAAAUAAAGGGACGGUACAGAAAGUUCUGACACUCAGGGGAAAGUCAGGGUCACUGCAACUGCCCAGGGGAGACCAUGAGAGCUGGGCUCAGAGCCCCGGAUGAAGGACUCCCGGCUGCCCAGCUGAUGAAAUCUCCGGUCUACAGCUGCCCGUUUCCGGAAGUCCCACCUGGAAAGGGACUCUGGGAGCCCAUGUUUGCUGCAUGGUUGUUUCUCCCCAACACUCCCCUUCCUCCAGCCAGUUGUGCUGGCAGGCAAAUCAGGGGAACCACCGCAGCUCCUGCCUAAGGAGAGUUUCGCAUGCUGUUAACGCUAGCGGUGGCACUGAUCUCUGGCUGAUUGCAGCCACUCAGGCUAAAUGGGUAGGAGGUUUAUUUAAAAGAGAAAAGGCAGGGGAAUGUGGAGGAAGGUAGUAGGGGAGAGGGUGAGCUAACAACUUUGGCUAGGAAUAAAGAAACAAUCUCUUUUCAAUCAGGGACAAUUAACUCUUAAGUCAAUAUGCAGACUUCAUAAUUCCUGGACUAACUUCGUCUUGCCCAGGCGGCCACGAUCAGGGUCAGGGGAGCGUGUCCUCUGGUGAGAGCUGGUACUGCUGUCUACUGCCUGCGCUUUCCUUCCCUGACACUGGAGCUUGUUACGGUAACACCUGGCACUUGGAAGAGCAGGCAGGAAAGAAGGUUCUGCCCUCCCUCCAAGAACUUUAUGGCAUCUCAUCGUUGGAGGUGCCCUUACCUUACCCCAGCGGGAGGUAUGAGCUGAAAACAAAUGGUUUAGAUACCAUUUCAGGGGGAUGUACUUGUAAAGGGCUACAAGAUCAAGGGGAGAUGUUUUGGAAAUACCAGCUCUCCCAGCACCUGGAUAAGGUCUGGGCAGGGCACUCCUUGAAUUCUGAAGGCUGCAGACAUUCAACUGGGGUGGUAAGUAGGAAGACCUGGUGGCAGAGAGAAGCAGACUGCGUAGAUCAGGGGCAUGCCCUUGGAACAGCUCUGCAGAGUCAUGCUAAGAAGAUGGGCAGAACGCAAUGCAGUCUUACCUAGAGGCAGGCACUGGGAGGGACAAGACCUGCAGGCCUUUCAGAGGAGAGAACAGCCUUCACCCAGUGUACUGUGCUAGAUGGGGAAUCCAGAGUCUGAGAGUCUUAUUUCAGAGAGAGUUGCAAGAGCUCCACGGUGCAAGAGCCUCUCUCACCCGGAACUACUGUGGGAGCAAACCCUACUCUGCAGCUCUGUGGCCCAAAGCUCUGUACCUGCCUGAUUUCCCAAUUUUAGUAGCGAUGCGCUAUGCUUCAGGUGAAAGAGAGGAGAAGCCAGAGCAUCCUACGUUAAAUAACGUUUCAGUGCCACAGGCUGACUCCUGCCUAAAUCUAGGUUUUGGUUUGGGGCUUGGGGCUGGUUGUCAGGGCACCUGGCUGAGCCCUGGUACCAUGUCAGUCCUAGCAGUUGGUGGGUGCCGGGCAGCAGGCUCGUGCUGCUUUGCAAGAAUGUUCUAGGGAAGAGCACCCCAGGACAGGGACCGUGUAUGGGAGGGGAUUCUGGAACUGAAGGGGUCAAAUAUAAGGCAGCUUUAUCCCAGGUAGAACUCUCAAGAAGAGACCGUCUUGGCCCUGCAUCUUCAUCAAUAUUUAUCGAGUCCCAGCUUUCUGCAAGGUUCCAUCACAAGAGCUGAAUACUGAUGUCUGACCUUGCAGUCUCACACUAAAACACAACUGACACACAAAUGAAGGGAAAGGAUGAUAUGUAUGUUAAAGGAGAGAGGGGACCAUGGUGAGACACCUAGAGGGUCAUUUAGGACUUAGAGGAUCUCCUCGUCUCAAAGACACAGUAGUUAUGGGACGGUCCCUUCCCCAAAGGGAGUUUGGGAAGGGGAUUUGUGGAAAGGGAAGACCACUUCUUGAAUAGAAUGGAAACUCUCCUCGUUCACCUAGGUCACUCCUAGACGUGCUUCAAACUCCACUUAAGAGUCGCUGUGAGAUGCUGCCCCUCUACAAUCCAGCUAGCUGCACACAUGCAUCCCCUACUGUCGCAUGUGCCUCUCUGUCCGAACAGCUGCCCUCCUGUCUCUUACCCGUGACUGUCAGCCCACGGAGGGCAGAAGCCUCAGGGUCUAACAUAGUGUCAGGCACAGGGGAGGGACCUGGAUGUGAGAGCCACCUGGCUGCCACAUCUGGCAUGUUCAUUUUUGCUCAUUUAGUUGGUUAAAUGUUUACUGACUGAUAGGAACGAAGGAUGAUUUGACUAGAGGGAAGGGAGAGGAAGUGAGCACACAAAUAAUCAGGGAGGAGAUGAAGGCCCCAGGAGAGCACCUGCUUAGAGUCCCUGCUGGGAAGGUGGACCCCAGCCCCUCUCCCCCUCUGCAAGGCCUGAGGCCCGCCUGAGCUCAUGGACUCCAGGCUGGCCUCUCCUGAUUCAUCCUCUGCUCACCCCUCACUCACCAGUUGCUCUUCCAGGUGUGACGGACGUGCGGGUCGUGGAUACCGUGUU